GAGCGCGUAGCUCAGUUGGUAGAGCACCUGACUUUUAAUCAGGUUGUCGUGGGUUCGAUUCCCACCGCGCUCACCA
rnacentral:tRNA from 1 species